rnacentral:rRNA from 1 species
GAUGAACGCUAGCGGCAGGCUUAAUACAUGCAAGUCGAACGGUAAGGUCUCGCUUGCGAGAUACACGAGUGGCGCACGGGUGCGUAACACGUAUGCAAUCUACCUCUAACAGGGGGAUAGCCCCGAGAAAUCGGGAUUAAUACCCCAUAAUAUUUGAUUUAGGCAUCUAAAACAAAUUAAAGCUCCGGCGGUUAGAGAUGAGCAUGCGGCCCAUUAGCUUGUUGGUAAGGUAACGGCUUACCAAGGCAACGAUGGGUAGCUGGUCUGAGAGGAUGAUCAGCCACACUGGCACUGAGAUACGGGCCAG